GUAUCUCAACAGGCCUAUUUCUCCUGAGGGGGUGUCUGGGAAUGACUGGUUCCGGUUAUUCGCUGCUGCUAUAAUGGCAGCUGCUGUACACUACCAGUACAGAUAGGACAACGAGCUAUUUAUACAAGUCUUUACAACGGGUGCAUCCGUUUAUUAAUAAGUAAUUCUACGGUCAAAAAUAAACGUUUGGAGGCCACUCUAAAGAUUAACCCUCUAUCCUGACACCUCUGGAGCAGUGCUGCAGGAUUUGUCGCUCCACCCUCCUGCGUCUGUCUGUGUCUCCUCUCCCUGCUCCAGUACAGUCUGUGAUGUCAUGAGGGACUCUCUUUUCCAUUAUCCUCUAUUCUCCAUGGCCUCUCUCCGAGCUGCACCUCUCCGCCCUGGACCGUCGCCUAGCGACCGUGCUCAGAACUGUGAGCCGUUGCCAGGAAGGACAGUGUAGCCGCCAUGGAGGCGAGGAUGAUGUCACUCAUUAUACGACCUUCGUUACACCUGUGACACAUGCAGGGUACACUCUUAGAAAAAAGGGUUCUUUGGCAGUCCCCAUAGGAGAACCC